GCCAUGGAUGCGCAGCAACAGCAGAGACAACAAGGUGUUCCAGCUCGCCCAAGGUCCGGCGCCGGCAGGGAUGGCGGCGGAGACUUCACUCCUAUUCUCACUGUGCUCGUUGCUUUCAUCUCCAUUUUCGCAUUGAUUGUGGCUCCUUCUAUUUCAACAUUAAAUAAUAGUGUAUCCAUUUUACACCAAGUGCCGGAAGGUCAUGUUGGAGUCUAUUGGAGAGGAGGUGCCCUUUUAAAUACAAUAACUGAUCCAGGUUUUCAUUUGAAACUGCCCUUUAUAACUCAGUUUGAACCCAUACAAGUUACUCUUCAAACAGAUCUGGUGAGGGAUAUUCCUUGCGGAACCAAAGGAGGCGUGAUGAUCAACUUUGAGAAAAUAGAAGUUGUUAACCGCCUUCGGAAGGACCACGUGUACGAUACUCUGCUGAAUUAUGGGGUCAAUUAUGAUAAUACAUGGAUAUACGACAAGAUCCACCAUGAGAUCAAUCAGUUCUGCAGUGCUCACAGCCUUCAACAAGUUUAUAUCGACAUGUUUGAUCAGAUCGAUGAAAAAAUGAAAGAUGCACUUCAGGCUGACUGCACACGAUACGCUCCAGGUAUUGAGAUUCUCAGUGUACGUAUUACAAAACCCAGCAUCCCAGAGAGCAUAAGACGAAAUUUUGAGAACAUGGAACAGGAGCGCACCAAGGUCUUGAUUGCAGUAGAGAGACAAAGAGUUGCUGAGAAGGAAGCAGAGACGCAGAAAAAGAUAGCAAUUAGUGAAGCUGAAAGAAAUGCUCAUGUUAGUAAGAUCCAAAUGGAACAGAAGUUGAUGGAAAAAGACAGUGCUAGGAAACAAGAGGAAAUUUCAAACUCAAUGUAUCUAGCUCGUGAAAAGAGCCUGGCAGAUGCAUCUUACUAUCGAACUAUGAAAGAAGCAGAAGCAAACAAGCUAAAGCUUACUCCAGAAUUUCUAGAAUUGCGAUUCAUUGAAGCUAUAGCCAAUAACUCGAAAAUUUUCUUUGGAAACAAGGUGCCCAACAUGGUUCUUGACCAAAGGCUACUUGGAAACUUUUUGCAAGAGCCUGUACCUCGAGCGGAGUCUUAGGGGUGUGCUGUUUACGCUUAUUUGUUCUAUCACAUGUAGAAUGAUAAAAUGUAUUUGGUUUAUUUGUAUCUUUCAUUCUGUAGAUUUCAGGAUCAUGUUUUCCCCCCUCUUUGAACAUGGAAAUUCUCCAUUUUUGAAUAUGAUAUUUGUUUGUGUCAUUCCACGGAUUGUG
rnacentral:misc_RNA from 1 species